ACAAUAACUUUACGGGAGCCGGGCAGCGCACCUCCCCGGCCGCUGGGGCGCCGUACGCCCGGCGACUAGCGAGGGCCUCGGCCUGUCCCACCGAGGGAGCCUCUAAGUCCCCACGCCAGGGUUUUGGAAGGGGCGCGAGCAAUUGCGAAGCUCACUGAAAAGCCUACCUCCCAGCUGCAAAUCCCCAGCUCCUGAUGGGUUCCAACCUCCCCCCUGCCGCCUGCUCGGGAGGCCGCCAGGGUGUUGCUGCUGCACUUCAAGGCCAUCCUGUGGCUGCCCAGUCGGAAGAAAGCUUGAUGGUGGUUCGUCUGUGUCAUUGCUGUCCGCUGCCUUAGAUCGUGAAUGAAGACAAACUGAGGAAUAUGUUGAACCUAUUCCACCCAUCACAAUACCAUCAAAAGACACACCAAAGCACUUCUGAAUGAUGAAUCAGACUUAUUUACUGACCACCUACCAUGUGCAAAGCCCUCUGCUAGCUGUGAGUGGAUGAAAGGAUGAGUUACCUAAGGUUCCUGCUGUCAAAAGCUGCCUCUGAGAUCCCUGAUUCUGCCGGACAGAAGGAAUCUUCCAUUUUUCUGCUCUCCAUAGCAUGGACUAGCCCUAUUACAGAGAACAUUACAACAUUACAUUGUUGGUGAAACCAGGGCACAGCGAUUAGAUAGAUAAAUACAAUCUCUAAUUAUUUAGGUGAAAAGAUGUUACUGCAGGAGGAAACUAUCCCCCGUGAUGGGCAGGGCCAGGUGGCCCAGCAACCUGGGCCUUUUCACACGGAGCUUCCUGUUUUGUGGUUGCUUGCUUAUGUUCGCCCCUGCUGAUGAAGUUUGUAAAGCAGGGGUCCCCAACCCCUGGGCCAUGAACCGGUACCUGUCCGUGACCUGUUAGGAACCCGGCCACACAGCAGGAGGAUUUUUGUAACAAAACGUGUUCAACAAGUUGAAUGAAAGAAAGC